ACGUAUAUUGAUCAUAUACUUGCUGUGAUUUACUUGUUCAGGAUUUGUAGUCUCGUUGUCAGUAAAAGCCCUGUACUAAAUACCUAUAGGUAUGCCCUGUAUGUUAUGUGGUCCGUAACUUCUCCUUUCACAACUGUAUUAGUGCAAGUGCUUCGUAUCUGGAAUCGGCUUACCUUUGACUCUGGUGUCCAUCUGCGUGCAUUUAAAUAGCGCAAAGCCAAGCAACAUCGAACGAGUAACUGAAUUGCAGACCGGGCAUCCAAUGCUCCCCAUGGUUGUACACAUACCGACGUGGGCCCUCGAAUUUGCGUCGAAAUAAUGGUUGGCAGUAUUAUUGUGCUUGCGUAUUGCCGGUAGAAAUCUGAUUGAACCACGGGAGUUCAAACCAUGACAAUGAGGAUAAUGAAGCUCCCGGAUUCCGUACUCACGAUUGGUGCUCGCCGAUUUCAGGUCCUUAUUUAUUAUUAUUAUAUUAUUAUUAUAUUACCGGCCACACAGAAAGGAAUCCACAAGGAUGGGCGAAGGUGUACGUGAAACGUCAUUCCAUUUCUCUGUACUAUGCACGAGGCUUUGUUGCAUAUUUUCAGAGUCCUCGAUGUCUUCAAUGUCCGGGAUGUCUGGGAUGGAUAUGGGCAUUUUUUUUCUCACUGAUCCUUAAUGGCGCAUAUAUGGGUUAACUGUACCUGCACUUAGCUAUAGUCGUGCGUGCGUUACAGCUAGAACGUAACGUGCGACCUCUUUUGGGAUGAGAGUCUCGCUUAUAGUUUCACUGUCACCGUCACUGUCACUCACUGUUUCAGAGUCCAGUCAGUCCCAAGGUCCGAUUGGAGAUACACCAGCAGGUAAACACAGUUACGGCCCGAGAAUUUAACGCAGGAAUUUCAAGAAGCAACGGCGACCAGAUUCGGAGGUUUGAACGUUGCUGAUAAUUGUACACUCUUAAAAAUGAACUUCACCACAUAGCAGGCUCCUAACCAACCAUCAUCCGGAAUGACAACGUUCUCGCCCCUCAUUUGUUGAAAACGGGAGGCGGAGCCAAUUUUGUGCCGGGCAUAAUGGCGAAGCAAUUCACAUCAGAGAGUCAUAAUGAUCGCAGAAAUUGAAUUUAAAAUACGCCGCAAAAAGCGACCGUGCGCAACGGUGGUGAAGAGCAGUACCAGCCUGCGAUCUGCCUGGAACCUCGCGCUGACGCUAUAAGGAGAACGCUCGCUGAUUGGUCUAGAGAAAUGUUGUCUCCUACUCCGCUGUCGUCUGCUACUCGGCUGUUCGGAGUUCUGAAAAAGCCGUUCUCCGCGCUCGGUAAUGAUUCGGCUGCUCCUUCUAUCCCCAAUUCUCCGGGAGUACUACUACCACAUAGUACCUGUCUCUCAUGUACUACCCUCCUUCAUGAACUUCUCAUCUGUGUACCAUUACUUAGCUGGUCUUCACUGGUGAAAAUGAGGAUAGAAGACGAAAUUAAACACACAAGCCUAGUUGUUCCUUCAAUUUUCUUGUUCAAAGUUUAGUAUGUAUCAACUCUUGUGACACUAUCUAGGAAAUGUUACGGGAAAAUCCUCUGUGGCUCUAAGAUAGUGGUCCACAUGGAACCUUCAUGUCCUUCGAAACAUCUACACACGGGGUGACGCAUUUUGCGUGCAGAAAGCUGGCAGUUUCAUCGAUUUCGGCACGACCAGGUUUGCCAAUAUGCUUAAUGCUUCGUCGGACGAGAAUAUCCGCCAUGUUACCGGCCCUUCGACGAACCGUUCAGUUGUCAUGGCCAAGAACCGAACCUGUUUCAAGAAUGGCUCAAGAGCUGUCCGCACAUCUUCACCGGUUGCACUGCUCAUUGUUUUCGAACACUUAGCACGUGCCCAGGCGUACAGCGCACACAUCAAAUCGUCCUCUGAAACGGUAAGUGUAUUCAUGCGCAAGAUAGUAUGAACGGUGUCUUCUGAUGCUUCUAUGAAGGCUUCAGACUCUAGAACGUCUUUCGUCUUCUCUUUGAUUAUUUCUUCGAUCUUGUCGUCGAAUCUGUUCUCGUGAAAGAGGGCCAGGUCUUCCUUCGCUUUGCAGACGUUCUUGGGGCUGAGUUCUUUGCCGAUGUAGUCGGUGCACAUGGUUACGAGGUGUUGUCAGGUGUAAGAACUCACCUGAGGAAGUACUCGAAUCCAACAGCAUCCAAGUCAACGACGCGUACCCUACCCUGUUCUGCGAGGUCACCGUAGAACAUGGCUUCGAAGGCCUCGCUGUUCAUUGCCAAGAUCAAUUUGUGUGCUUCGAAGAACUUGGUUUCACCACUCUCGCCCUCUUCAGGACCUACUAUGAACUCGACGUCCACGAUACAGGAGGAACAAGGGGAUGACCCUUCUCAAAAUGGCCGCCAGCGUUUCGUGCCGCUACUUUUACACGGAACGCGUAAGUAAUUCAGCUCCAGACUCUCGACACCACAAGACACCACAUCUGAGCACGGAGUGCAUUCAGCAAUCGGUCAGGAGCCAGCAAAAGUGACAGGAAAUUGUUGAAGGAAACAUCACGCUCAACAAGACGGCUAACGUCUGCUUCGACACAGAUUGCUUUUGUGUGGUCAACAAAUGUUUAUGGCGAGUAAUAAAGCGCUUCCCGGAAAUUUUUAAAU